UACGUAGGGUGCAAGCGUUUAAUCGGAAUUACUGGGCGUAAAGCGUGCGCAGGCGGUUAUGUAAGACAGAUGUGAAAUGCCCGGGCUUAACCUGGGAACUGCAUUUGUGACUGCAUGGCUAGAAUCUGGCAGAGGGGGGUAGAAUUCCACGUGUAGCAGUGAAAUGCGUAGAUAUGUGGAGGAACACCGAUGGCGAAGGCAGAUCUCUGGGCCGUAACUGGACGCUGAGGAGCGAAAAGCAUGGGGAGCGAACAGG
rnacentral:rRNA from 1 species